rnacentral:rRNA from 1 species
CAAGUCUGGUGCCAGCAGCCGCGGUAAUUCCAGCUCCAAUAGCGUACGUUAAAGUUGCUGCAGUUAAAAAGCUCGUAGUUGAACGUUCGGGUUCCGCGGGACGGGGCCGCCCCGCGAGGGACGGCGCCGCCCCGGGGCUCGUGAUAUCUCAUCUCGCCGCCCGUCGCGAGGCGGACGGAGGGAUGGAUGAGGUUACCUGGAAAAAAUCGGGGCGAUCUAGGCGGGCGAACCUCGCCAACGAACGAUCGGACAUGGGAUAACGGAAGAGGGCGUCGGCUCGACUUCGUCGGUUCCUCGGGCCGAGGCACGUACGGUGAAUAGGGACGGUCGGGGCCGCCCGUACCGGGUCGUGAGAGGUGAAAUUCUAGGAUCGACCCGAGACGAACCGCCGCGAAAGCAUUCGGCAAGGACGCUUUCAUUAAUCAAGAACGAAAGUCGGGGGAUCGAAGACGAUCAGAUACCGUCGUAGUCCCGACCGUAAACGAUGCCGACCGAGGGCCCGGAGGAGUUACGUACGACCCUCCGGGCCCUCCCGCGAGAAAUCAGGAGUAUUCGGGUUCCGGGG